AACCUGUUAAAUAAUCGAUAUUCCACGAUAAAUUUUACUAUUAUUAAUAUUUUAUAUACCUCCAUCUAAAGAAUUUAUUUUUAUAAUAUUAUUCAAAAAAGUUAUUUCUUAAAAGUUAGGUAAAGGUGUAGACAAUAUAAUAGACUAUAAUGGGUUACUUUAAAUUUUAUUUAAGGAUAAAAAAAUUAAAAUUUUUUUAGAAAAAGGAUUUAUUAGUAAAAUUUAAAUAAUAUUUAUAUUUGAAUUUAGAAAUAAAUGUGU
rnacentral:rRNA from 1 species